UACGUAGGGUGCGAGUGUUAAUCGGAAUUACUGGGCGUAAAGCGUGCGCAGGCGGUUUUGUAAGCCAGAUGUGAAAGCCCCGGGUUUAACCUGGGAAUGGCAUUUGGGACUGCAAGGCUGGAGUGUGGCAGAGGAGACUGGAAUUCCUGGUGUAGCAGUGAAAUGCGUAGAUAUCAGGAGGAAUACCGAUGGCGAAGGCAGGUCUCUGGGCUGACACUGACGCUCAUGCACGAAAGCGUGGGGAGCAAACAGG
rnacentral:rRNA from 1 species